rnacentral:rRNA from 1 species
GACGAACGCUGGCGGCGUGCUUAACACAUGCAAGUCGAACGGAAAGGCCCUGCUUUUGUGGGGUGCUCGAGUGGUGAACGGGUGAGUAACACGUGAGUAACCUGCCCUUGACUUUGGGAUAACUUCAGGAAACUGGGGCUAAUACCGGAUAGGAGCUCCUGCUGCAUGGUGGGGGUUGGAAAGUUUCGGCGGUUGGGGAUGGACUCGCGGCUUAUCAGCUUGUUGGUGGGGUAGUGGCUUACCAAGGCUUUGACGGGUAGCCGGCCUGCGAGGGUGACCGGCCACAUUGGGACUGAGAUACGGCCCAGACUCCUACGGGAGGCAGCAGUGGGGAAUAUUGCACAAUGGGCGGAAGCCUGAUGCAGCAACGCCGCGUGCGGGAUGACGGCCUUCGGGUUGUAAACCGCUUUCGCCUGUGACGAAGCGUGAGUGACGGUAAUGGGUAAAGAAGCACCGGCUAACUACGUG